rnacentral:tRNA from 1 species
GCGCGGGUGGUGAAAUGGUAUACACGCUACCUUGAGGUGGUAGUGCCGAAAGGCGUGGAGGUUCAAGUCCUCUUCCGCGCA